rnacentral:rRNA from 1 species
UACAGAGGUCCCAAGCGUUGUUCGGAUUUAUUGGGCGUAAAGGGUGCGUAGGCGGUUGCCUAAGUCAGAUGUGAAAUCUCGGGGCUCAACCUCGAAACUGCAUUUGAUACUGUGCGGCUAGAGUGCGGAAGGGGCAACUGGAAUUCUUGGUGUAGCGGUGAAAUGCGUAGAUAUCAAGAGGAACACCUGCGGCGAAGGCGGGUUGCUGGGCCGACACUGACGCUGAGGCGCGAAAGCCAGGGGAGCGAACGGG